GACGAGGGGUCCAAGCGUUGUUCGGAAUCAUUGGGCGUAAAGCGGGUGUAGGCGGCUCUAUAAGUCAGGGGUGAAAUCCUGGAGCUCAACUCCAGAACUGCCUUUGAUACUGAGGAUCUUGAGUUCGGGAGAGGUGAGUGGAACUGCGAGUGUAGAGGUGAAAUUCGUAGAUAUUCGCAAGAACACCAGUGGCGAAGGCGGCUCACUGGCCCGAUACUGACGCUGAGGCACGAAAGCGUGGGGAGCAAACAGG
rnacentral:rRNA from 1 species